rnacentral:tRNA from 1 species
GUGAAAAUAGUUUAAAAAAACCUUAGGUUGUGAUCCUAAAAAUGAAGGAUAAUAUCCUUCUUUUCACC